AUUGAACGCUGGCGGCAGGCCUAACACAUGCAAGUCGAGCGGGGUUUUCGGACCUAGCGGCGGACGGGUGAGUAAUGCGUAGGAAGCUGCCCGAUAGAGGGGGAUACCAGUUGGAAACGACUGUUAAUACCGCAUAAUGUCUACGGACCAAAGUGUGGGACCUUCGGGCCACAUGCUAUCGGAUGCGCCUACGUGGGAUUAGCUAGUUGGUGAGGUAAUGGCUCACCAAGGCGACGAUCUCUAGCUGGUUUGAGAGGAUGAUCAGCCACACUGGAACUGAGACACGGUCCAGACUCCUACGGGAGGCAGCAGUGGGGAAUAUUGGACAAUGGGCGCAAGCCUGAUCCAGCCAUGCCGCGUGAGUGAUGAAGGCCUCGGUUGUAAGCUCUUUGUCGGGGAAGAAACAGCAGCUCUAACACAGUCUGCGAAUGACGGUACCUGAAGAAUAAGCACCGGCUAACUACGUGCCAGCAGCC
rnacentral:rRNA from 1 species